AUCAGUUCCUCACUCUUAAUAUGGUAUCUAGAGCUAACGAUUUCUGUUAGAACUCUUCCCGUUUCCUUUCUUCCGAUCUUCUUCUUCUCAUCUACCGGCACCCAUGGAGGAGAUUAGCAGGAACGCAAACUCUUCUCUGGUCAAAAUCAAGUUGGUCGCAACUGUAAAAUUGGAUUAUACCAAUUUCUUCUCCUGGAAGGCGCAAACAUUGACCCAUCUCUGCGGCUACAGUCUUCUAAAAUAAAUUGAAUCUCCCGUCGAUUCCACGUCGACGGUGGCAGUUGUACAGCAGGAUCAAUUGCUGUGUUGGGAUAGCUCCUGUCCGCUCUUUCUCCAGUGGUAUUACCUUAGGUAGCCGCCUUCACAACGUCGUCACAGGAGGUUUAGGUCGCGCUCCAGAAUAUUUUUAAUUACAAAUCCAAAUCAAGGAGGCUCCAACUAAGGCAUGAACUAUCCACCUUCAAGAAAGGGGGUCUUACCAGCGAUGAAUACCUAGCGGCGUUGUCCAGGAAAUUAAGCCGAUGAAGUGAGGGAUUCCGGAAUCGAGAUGGAAGACGGCACUACAAAAAAAAGGACCUUGUAUGGCGGCCUUUAGAUGGCGGAUUUCCGCCAUCAAUACUUCAAUAGUU
rnacentral:lncRNA from 1 species